rnacentral:rRNA from 1 species
AGUGAACGCUGGCGGUAGGCCUAACACAUGCAAGUCGAACGGCAGCACAGGAGAGCUUGCUCUCUGGGUGGCGAGUGGCGGACGGGUGAGGAAUACAUCGGAAUCUACCUUUUCGUGGGGGAUAACGUAGGGAAACUUACGCUAAUACCGCAUACGACCUACGGGUGAAAGUGGGGGACCGCAAGGCCUCACGCGAUUAGAUGAGCCGAUGUCCGAUUAGCUAGUUGGCGGGGUAAUGGCCCACCAAGGCGACGAUCGGUAGCUGGUCUGAGAGGCUGAUCAGCCACACUGGGACUGAGACACGGUCCAGACUCCUACGGGAGGCAGCAGUGGGGAAUAUUGGACAAUGGGCGCAAGCCUGAUCCCGCCAUACCGCGUGGGUGAAGAAGGCCUUCGGGUUGUAAAGCCCUUUUGUUGGGAAAGAAAUCCUAUCGGUUAAUAACCGGUGGGGAUGACGGUACCCAAAGAAUAAGCACCGGCUAACUUCGUGCCAGCCGCCGCAGUAACAC